GCUCGUUCUCGCCUCCCAGCGACCGGCCAGUUGCCAGCUGCUGGGGAGAAUGAGCUUGGAGCCGCAGGGCUUAUUCCCGCGCGGCUCAGAGAUGGGUUUCUGGACUCGCGCCGCAGCUGCAACAAGGCAUCACUCACUGUGCAAGUAUUUCCAUUUCUGAGAGCAAAAGGAAGAACUUAAGCGGGCGGCACUUGGAGUGUAAAUUGCUUUGUAGUAUUUAAAGGCAGAAUGGAUCCUGGGCAGCCGAGCUGGAAAGUUAUGUAACAUGUCAAGAGUGAAGAAUGAGUUUGGAAAAAAUGCUCUUCAUGGGAUCCUUUUACUGUGAACCUUGAACGGUGUGCUUGAGUUGUGGAAACGGGCUGAAACAAUUGGAAAACACUGACUUGGUAGGAGGUAAGGAAGGUAUCUGCAAUUGCUGAAGUAAAAUGAACUUUUCUGCAGAGAAAAGCAGCUUAGUUACAACCCUCAAAGCUCAGACGUCAAUCUGUCCCCAAGCAGGACAAGUGUGGGUGAUAUAUGGAAAGGCUAUUUUAAAAUCUGCUUGAGCUUGCCAAUCUGGAGAUUUGCCCAGGAAAGAGAGCCUUGGAAAAAUCAAGAUGCAAACAAGCAAAUUUUAUCCAAUUUAUGCAGAACUUGAGAGUCACAGAAACUAAUUGGACAGAAUCCCAUUACUAAGAUUUUAGCAUUAAUAAUUACUAUGACAGAUAGUUAUUUUAACUUUCUUUUCUCUCAUGCCUGUUACAAUGACUUAAUAUGUAUGUGUAUUUGUUUUGUGCAAUAUCAUGAUGGAAAAAAUACUGUCCAAACAUGUCCUUAUAAAGCUAAUUCUGUUCUUUUGGAUCGAUCUGAAUCUUAAUCAUUUUUUGAAUAUGGCUAUGCUGUCAAAUAGAAGUGGUAGGGAUAGUUUUUUCUAAAGUCAGAGUAUUUUAUUUUGAAUGCAUAAGAAAAAUCACAAAAGCCAAGUGCUACUUUCCUUUAAAAGAAAGGUUUGUUUAACAUCUUGAAUUAUGCAAAAUAUUUAAGUGACAUUAAAUAAUAAUGAAUAUUUUCUGCAAUAUCAAAAGAAUAUUUUUGUCAGUAAAGUGAUGCAAAUAUAUUGAGUGAAACACUCUGUAUUAACAAGCCUAUUAAUGCUUAUUGGCUAUGUGUGUUAAUGUCUUUAGCAGACAUCAUUUGAAUCAGUAUGACUUAUUCUACAUGAGGUAUUUUUAAUGAAAAUGCAUCACACAGACAAACUAAACCAUUUCCAGGAAUAUUGUAACAGCUUCAAAAUAAGAUGCUAUGGUGUUAAAGGGAAGCAUAUGAUUUUGGUGUUAGUGCCAGAGAGCUAUAGUUUUAAUGUGUUGAAUCACUACGAGUGAUGACAUGAAUGAUUAGAUUUUGUAAUAGCAACUUAAUUUGAAAAGAGAUUCUCGGAUUCAGGGACUUACCUAAAAUUUCUCAAUGGAGUGAUAAAGAAUGUUGCAUUCUUUAAACAAAUGCUUCAUGGUAUAAGAAUUAUUUUUAUAAGCAAUAAGAUAGAUUUGAAUUGAUGAAAUUACUCCAGAUGGAGUGUAAGUAAUAUUUCAUUCCUGCAA